UACGGAGGGUGCGAGCGUUGUCCGGAUUUAUUGGGUUUAAAGGGUGCGUAGGUGGCUAAUUAAGUCAGUGGUGAAAUACAGCCGCUUAACGGUUGAGGUGCCAUUGAUACUGACUAGCUUGAAAGAAUUGGAGGCUGCCGGAAUGGAUGGUGUAGCGGUGAAAUGCAUAGAUAUCAUCCAGAACACCGAUUGCGAAGGCA
rnacentral:rRNA from 1 species